rnacentral:rRNA from 1 species
CCUACGGGGCGCAGCAGCUAAGAAUAUUGGGCAAUGGAGGAAACUCUGACCCAGCCAUGCCGCGUGAAUGAAGAAGGCCUUCGGGUUGUAAAGUUCUUUUAGUCGUGAAGAUGAUGACAGUAGCGACAGAAAAAGCACCGGCUAACUUCGUGCCAGCAGCCGCGGUAAUACGAAGGGUGCAAGCGUUGUUCGGAUUUACUGGGCGUAAAGCGUCCGUAGGUGGUUUGUUAAGUCAGGGGUGAAAUCCCGGGGCCCAACCCCGGAACUGCCUUUGAUACUGGCAAGCUGGAGCGUGAUAGAGGAAG